rnacentral:rRNA from 1 species
GGGAUAACACUUGGAAACAGGUGCUAAUACCGCAUAACAGUUUAUGCCGCAUGGCAUAAGAGUGAAAGGCGCUUUCGGGUGUCGCUGAUGGAUGGACCCGCGGUGCAUUAGCUAGUUGGUGAGGUAACGGCUCACCAAGGCCACGAUGCAUAGCCGACCUGAGAGGGUGAUCGGCCACACUGGGACUGAGACACGGUCCAG